UAUAGUCGAUCCUUGCUUCAACAAGGAACUGUACACAAACCAUACGCAGGAGAACAAACUAAAAUUCUCCGAAUUCGGUUGUUUCCACAACUUCGCCCUACUUCUUCGCAACUCUCGACGAACCUGAGUGUAGCAAAAAUAUAAAUUAUGGGUCCUACGAAGAGCACCGAAGCGAGUACCAAUAACCAAACAGUGUGAUCGAAUGGUGUGAGCAAUCCCGAACCGGUUGCCGAUUCUUGCGGUCGCUUCAUCAACACCGUCACCUCACUUUGGUCCAAAGCUGUGCUGAACGUGCAAUACUUCCGCAAAUCCGGCAAAAGAGGUCACAGACGAGUCAACUUACUUCUUGUCUGCUAAGAUGCUCCAUCCAUAUCCAAUAAGCAUGCAAAAUCCCAUAGAUGGUGCGUACAACACUCUUUCAGCAAUUACAAAUCCGACCGGGAAGAAAAGAUUUGACGCAGGUAAAAAAGGGAGUAUCAUCAUAGCCAAACUCUGCAGGCAUUAUUUUGGAAACACAACAUACUCAUUAGCUAUUAGUAUUGUUAAUUAUAAAAGAUCCACACAUAUACAAAAUUUCUAGAGCAUGCGUGAUUAUCACAUAUUUUCCUUAUUCCAACAAACACACAUCAUUAUUCAAUGACUUAAAUUCUCUAUUAUAUCUAAUUCUGCAAUGAGUAUCUUUACUAACCAUAAUGAGAAUAACUGAUGUUUGUCUGCUACGUGUUACAACAGCUGUCACAAGCAAUCCUAGCACAGUUCCAUGAGUACCUAAAGUUGCGAGAUUACGAACAUCGGUAAAGCUUUCUACUAAUGGUAUCGUUCCCAUUGUCCAAUCACAGCACAAAUCACUUGGAAGAAAUAGCAGUCUUAGAUUCACUGCAGCAAGAUAAUUAUAUGUAAGCUGUCUUGUUGGUGUUACAGCAACUGAUGCAGGAUUGUCAAAUCUAAAAGAUAUAUACAUAUUAAUUAUAGUAUGUAAAUAAAGUCACUUACAAUUACAUUCAUAUACACAGCAGCAAUACCUGGUAAAUACAGGUAACUUUGAGCCCAUUAUAUGUAACCGUAGGAUAAGCAGGCUAAAUGUAACAAGUGUAAGGGCGGUCAAACGUUUUGUACCCUCGCCUGACCAUGCAGGUGAAAUUUUAUUACCACCAAAAGCUGACUUUAGUGCUAAGAAAAUAUCCCUUGCUCUAACCUAAGUAAAAUUACAAAUAUUGUUAGUAUAACUUUGACAUACUUGAUAUAAUAAAUGUGUAACAUUGAAAAGAGAUAUUUUACCUUUUGUACAACAAAAAUUUCAUACAAUACACAAACUGCUGUGGCCGUAAUUCCCUGUUCUUUGCAUAACAUUGCAGUAAAUACAAAAACAUAGAUAACAUUAAGGAUUUCCACCCUGUAAAAUAUAUAUGAAUGUAAUAUAAUGUUACACAAUAUAAAAUGUAAAUCAUUUGCAUUAGGACUCAAGUAAUUACCUGUAGAUCUUUUGCUUUUGCAACAUUUAGUAUAUGUGAUUAAAGCUGCCAGGUAAAAUAAGGAGGACAAAGUUUCUGCCCUACCAACUACUCCUGUGACCUAGGAACAUAAUUAUAGUUAUAUUUUAAUAAAUGACAUUAUUUUUUUGCAGGCUAAUAAUAAUUAAAACAAUAAGUCUUUUUGGCAUUACAUACUGCUUCUGUGUGUAUAGGAUGUACAGCAAAAAAUAAAGAUGACACAAAACUUGCUGCAUCUGGUAGAAACAUCAAACAGGUCCUGUGAACAAUUUUUACACAUAAUUUUCUUUUUUGUCUCUAAUGCGAAAUUCAUAAAAGACUAUUCUAUAUUUUAUAUUCUAAAUUAAAGUACUAAGUAAUUUUC